UCUAGGGACAAUCUAACAUUUGGUUCGAUUUUGCAAACUGUGUUGUAACGUUAUUUUGGUUAUUCUCUUAAACGAAUCCAAAUUAUAUAUAAAGUCUUUAAAAUUACUUCAAAAAAAUAAACCAUAAAAAAUAUAAUAUUCCAAAGCAUCUACCCACUGAUUUCCUUAUCUGAGAUAAAUCACGUCUCCUAUUAUAGUUGAGUUGUUUUCCCCCCUCUUUCUCUCUCUCUUCGCAUAUGUGGCGUUUAAUUUGUAAUCUGUAUAAAUGUAUAUAUUCACUGUCUAUCUAACGGAGAAGUAAGGGUACUUAAAUUGAAUUCUAAUAACUUUUUACAUCUACUCCCUAGAUUUUUAAACAAAUAUCUGUACUUUCGACAGAGACUCAUUACUUUUGGUUAAACUGUAUCAUUUAUAGCGUUUAUACUCGGGAGUUAGCAAACUAUGGGAAUAACUGUACGCAGUCUGCACACACAUCUACAAAUAUUUAUUUUGGGCUUUGCAACACGAUUAUAUUCUAGAAAGUGAACCGUAGAUGUAUUUACAGAUAUUAUUAUUCACUGUAUCUGUAUAUUCACAUGUACAUGUACGAUAAGCAUGAACACCCUGUGGAAUUUAUCUUGUCCAUUGAACUCACAAUCAGCACAUCAUAGAUAUAACGGGGCAUAAAAGCCAUUCAUGCACUUACAUACAAAAAGGGAGUUUUAGAAAUAAAUAAGAUCUUUAUUUUUGUAUUAAAAGGACCAUUAAAAUGAGGCUUAUAAAAGUGUGUCACUGGGCAAACUUAAUCAAUGAGUUAUUAAAAUUUUGCAGUCCUUUGUUUAGAAACCAAUAUUAAGUACCGAACAAAAUCAGAAAAUUGUUUGGUUUUAUGUGGAAAAAAAAUGGAAUUUAUCUGGUAAAUUUGAUUAAAACCAGGGUAGUGUAUUUGCUUUUAUCCCAAAUAUAUGUUCCAGUCUAUUUUAUGAAAUGUUGUGUAUAACUAAAGAAGUAAUGUUUUCUUUACACAUUGGGUUAAUCUAAAAAGUUAACCCUCCACGGUGUAAGUUUUUCUUAUUUUCUCAUCAUAAAGUAUAUUCAUUCAACCCAGCUUUCAUAUUUUUUAGCAUCUAAAGGCAAAUAAUCCUAAUUAUAUUCACACCGGUGUAUACAAACUUUUUUCCCAGGCCUGACAGAACCUGUACUGAUUUGUUUGGAUGUGGAUUCCAAGCUCAGUGAUCAGAUCAAGCUGUCAUUCUUCCACCUGUGUGUGGAUGACAAGUCGGCUCUGUUGCUCCACCUCCUGAGGAACGUAGUGAAGCCUCAGAAACAGACAGUGGUCUUUGCUGCCACCAAACCUAAAGGAGCCUAAAGGAGCUGCUGUCGUCAGAAGGUUUAGAGUGUGCCUACGUCUACAGUGCCCUUGAUCAGACUGCCAGGAAGAUCAAUAUUGGGAAAUUUGUGCAUUGGAAAGCCAUGGAGCUUCUGGUGACUGAUGUUGCUGCUCGUGGUAUAGGCAUCCCCCUGCUGGACAAUGUCAUCAAUUACAACUUCCCCUCCAAGGCCAAACUUGUGCCAAAGUGGCACAGCCUAUAGUCUGAUUUGUCCUGAUGAAAUGCAGUAUUCUAAUAAGCAAAGAAACACAUAAUUCUCUCCUGAUAUAGACCAUCUUCAAAAUCAACUCCAGUAGUAAGACACCAGCGAGUGAGGUGAUGCGGGCCAAACGCUCUAAAGACACUCGGCUAGUGGACAAAUUCAGCAAGCAGAGAGAGGACCGAGCUGCAGAAAGCAGGAUGCAGCAGCCAAUCAACCCCACCACUACUGCUGACUGUGACAUCACAGAAAAGGAGGAGACUGAUCUAAAUGUAAGCAUGGGUGAAGUAUUGCUUCUUUCUUUCUUCCCUGGAUCAUUGUAGUUGCAGGUUCAGAUCAGUUUCAUAAAGGAUUAAGCACACAUGUGAAAAAAAGGAUUAUUAGACUGAGUUAAGUUAUUAAUGCUUAAACUUUGGUGUCAUUAACUCUUGCUCUUAUCGUUCUGUCACAAACUAUACUGGUCGUGUAUAGUUCUGCAUUGCAUGGAAGUCAG